rnacentral:rRNA from 1 species
GCCAGAGUACUACGAGCCACAGCUUAAACUCAAAGGACUUGGCGGUGUCCUACAUCCAUCUAGAGGAGCCUGUUCUAUAAUUGAUAUUCCACAAUAAACCUCACCACCUCUUGCCACUCAGCCUAUAUACCACCGUCACCAUAGCCCACUCCCCCAGGAAUAAAUAGUGGGCAAAACUAUUUAAAAUUUAAAAGUCAGGUCAAGGUGUAGCACAUGUGAUGGAAAGAAAUGGGCUACAUUUUCUUAAAAGAAAAUACGAAAUGUAUAGUGAAACAACACAUGAAGGAGGAUUUAGCAGUAAAAAGAAAAAAGAGUGUUCUCUUAAACUUGGCAAUAGGACAAGCACACACCGCCCGUCACCCUCAUUAACUUAAAAAUAAAAUAAAAUAAAUUAGAAAUAGAAUAGAAGAGGAAAGUCGUAACAAGGUAAGCCUACCGGAAGGUGGUCUUGGAAC